AUGCUUGCUUCAGCAGCACACAUACUAAAAUUGGAACAAUACAGAGGAGAUUAGCAUGGCCCCUGCGCAAGGAUGAUACGCAAAUUCGUGAAGGAUUCCAUAUUUUC
rnacentral:snRNA from 1 species